rnacentral:piRNA from 1 species
UUUUUUCUGAAUAUGUUAGAGGU